CCCUAUGGGGCGCAGCAGGCGCGAAACCUCUGCAAUAGGCGAAAGCCUGACAGGGUUACUCUGAGUGACUUUCGCUAAGAAAGUCUUUUGGCACCUCUAAAAAGGGUGCAGAAUAAGGGGUGGGCAAGUCUGGUGUCAGCCGCCGCGGUAAUACCAGCACCCCGAGUGGUCGGGACGAUUAUUGGGCCUAAAGCACCCGUAGCCGGUUCUGCAAGUCCCCCGUUAAAUCCAGCUGCUCAACAGAUGGGCCGCGGAGGAUACUACAGAGCUAGGAGGCAGGAGAGGCAAGCGGUACUCAGUGGGUAGGGGUAAAAUCCUCUGAUCCAUCGAGGACCACCAGUGGCGAAGGCGGUCUGCCAGAACACGUUCGACGGUGAGGGAUGAAAGCUGGGGGAGCAAACCGGAUUAGAUACCCGGGUAGUCCCAGCUGUAAACGAUGCAAACUCGAUGAUGCAUUGGCUUAUGGCCAAUGCAGUGCCGCAGGGAAGCCGUUAAGUUUGCCGCCUGGGAAGUACGGACGCAAGUCUGAAACUUAAAGGAAUUGGCGGGGGAGCACCACAAGGGGUGAAGCCUGCGGUUCAAUUGGACUCAACGCCGGUA
rnacentral:rRNA from 1 species